UACGAAGGGUGCUAGCGUUGUUCGGAAUCACUGGGCGUAAAGCGCGCGUAGGCGGCUUAACAAGUCGAGAGGUGAAAUGCCAGGGCUCAACCCGGGAACUGCCUUUGAAACUGUUAGCUUGAGACUCGGAGGGGAUAGCGGAAUACCUAAUGUAGCGGUGAAAUGCGUAGAUAUUAGGUGGAACACCGGUGGCGAAGGCGGCUAUCUGGACGAGUACUGACGCUGAGGCGCGAAAGCGUGGGGAUCAAACAGG
rnacentral:rRNA from 1 species